rnacentral:rRNA from 1 species
UCUUAUUGAAAAUAAUUUUAAGUCUAAUCUGCCCAAUGAAAAUUUUAAUGGCUGCAGUAUCAAUAACUGUACAAAGGUAGCAUAAUAAUUAGUUUUUUAAUUGAAAACUAGAAUGAAAGAUUAAAUGAAAUAUAAACUUUAUUAAUAAAAUUAAAAUUAAACUUAAAUUUUAAGUUAAAAUUCUUAAAUAUUAUUAAAAGACGAGAAGACCCUUUAGAAUUUUAUAUAAAUUAAAAUUAAAAUUAUAAAUAUUAAUAAUAUAAAUUUUAAUUAAUAUUUAAUUGGGGUAAUUUUUUAAUUUUAUAAACUUUAAAAUAAUAAAACAUUAAUUAAUGAACUUAUAAACCUAAAAUUUAGAAUUUUAAAAUAAAUUACC